GCCCUUAUGGUCUAGUGGUUAAGACUCGGUACUCUCACCGCCAUAGCCUGGGUUCGUUUCCCAGUCAGGGAA
rnacentral:tRNA from 1 species